UUAGCCUUUUAAUUAAAGGCUUGUAUGAAUGACUUAACAUUUUAAUUUCUUUUUUUCUUAAAAAUUUUUAAAUUUAAUUAAGUAUAAAAAUGUACUUAUAUAUAAUUUAGACGACAAGACCCUAUUAAACUUCACUUUAGUUUAGCUGGGGCAGCUAAUUAAAUACUAUUUUAAUUUUUAUCAAAAUAAAAAUUGCCAGUAAAAUUGAUCAUAAUAAGUUACUAUAGGGAUAACAGCGUGAUAUUUUUUAAAAGCUCUUAUUUAAAAAAAAAGAUUACGACCUCGAUGUUGAAUUAAUACUCUUUUAGGUGCAAUCACCUCUAAAGAUAGUCUGUUCGACUAUUAAAUAAUUACAUGAUCUGA
rnacentral:rRNA from 1 species